rnacentral:misc_RNA from 1 species
GGCAGUUCGUAGAAUGGAGAACUGAUUAAUCGAGAAUCAUGGAUUCCAGCCGCAAUAUGCAAUUUCUGAGCUAAGUGAGAAGAACUUUUGGAGAAUGUUUGACUGAUUAUGAAAUAAGUUUGGAAUGAAUAGGUAAAACUUUUUUCGUUGCAUUUUCUGACAAUGCCAGUGAGUUUCUAAUUUUUAGCUGAAUGCUUUAGUUGUCUUGGAUUUUUAACGCAUUAGAUGAGAUUUGGAUGAUUUUAAAUUUUUUAAACAGUUUAUGGUCUGGAUUUGGAUGCUGUUUAUUUUCAUGUUCCUGUGAUCUCCACCCUCUAAUUCAAAUGGGUGUUUGAAAUUUUUUAAAAAAUCAAAUUUAAUUUUUUAAAAACUAGAAGCCGCCUUCCAAGUUAUUGCAAAAUUUUAUUAUGCUUAUAUUCUGUUUAUAUAAUUGUUUUAUGCUACCACUGUGCUUAGCUUACUAGUCUUUAGCAUAUCUACUAUCUAUCAUUAUUUUAUGUUGACUUUGUGCUUUGGGUUUGUGAUUGUGAUGGCAAAAACAAUUGUGCGAAAAUUCUCAUGCUUGCUUUUGCUGUGCGUUUCAAUGAAGUGCUUGGGGGGUUUCAGAUUUGCAGAAUGAUGGAGACAGGGGGAGAGAGAAGCCGAAUGUGAGAAGGAGACAAAAGGAAUAGGAAAAGGGAAAGAGAGAGAGAGAGAGGGAAAGGAAAAAGGGAGUGAGAGGCAAAAUAUGUGCGUGAGAGAGAGAGAGAGAGUG